UCAGGAUGAACGCUAGCGACAGGCUAACACAUGCAAGUCGAGGGGCAGCAUAAAAGUAGCAAUACUUGGUGGCGACCGGCGCACGGGUGAGUAACGCGUGUGCAACCUACCUAUCAGAGGGGAAUAACCCGGCGAAAGUCGGACUAAUACCGCAUAAACAAAAGGGGCACCGCAUGGUGAUAUUUGUUAAAGAAAUUCGCUGAUAGAUGGGCAUGCGUUCCAUUAGGUAGUUGGUGAGGUAACGGCUCACCAAGCCGACGAUGGAUAGGGAACUGAGAGGUUGGUCCCCCACACUGGUACUGAGACACGGACCAGACUCCUACGGGAGGCAGCAGUGAGGAAUAUUGGUCAAUGGGCGGGAGCCUGAACCAGCCAAGUCGCGUGAAGGAAGAAGGAUCUAUGGUUCGUAAACUUCUUUUGCAGGGGAAUAAAGUGCAGGACGUGUCCUGUUUUGUAUGUACCCUGAGAAUAAGGAUCGGCUAACUCCGUGCCAGCCGCCGC
rnacentral:rRNA from 1 species